CAGAUCAAUACUGAACACAACCUACUCACCAUGGAGUUGGGUUUGAGAUGGGUUUUUCUUGUUGCUAUUUUAAAAGGUGUCCAGUGUGAGGUGCAACUGGUGGAGUCUGAGGGAGGCUUGGUGCCACCUGGGGGAUCCCUGAAACUCUCCUGUGCAGCCUCCAGACUCACCUUUAGUGAUUACUACAUGGACUGGGUCCACCAGGCUCCAGGGAAGGGGCUGGAGUGGGUUGUACAAAUUAGGAAAGAUGGUGGUAGUACAUACUGCCAGAUUCCAUGAAGGGCAGAUUCACCAUCUCCAGAGACAAUUUGAAGAGCCAGUUGUAUCUGCAGAUGAACAGCCUGAAAGCCGAGGACACUGCCUUGUAUUAUUGUUCAUCAACUGUGCCAUGGCAUGAACUUGGGGAGCAGCAAUCCAGUGAAGUAUCAAUAGGAUCAGAUCCUGCAGUGGCUCAGGGCAUCCUGAUGCCAGGAGUUAUGAGCCUUGAUGAUCAGCCUCGGUAUGCCUAUAAGGAAAAAGACACAGACGCAUUCCAUCUGACUCAUGGAAGCAGAUUAUCCUCCAUACCUGCAGAUCCACGUGAGGGACAGCCUGAGUCUGGUUCAAACCUCAAUGGCAACACCAUGGUGUCUCUGCUGCCCUGGGCAUCUAUUCUCAUUACUCUCAAUACAAUCAGUGGAAUGUGA